AUGCUCUGGAUGAUAGCAGGGGAAGGGGCACAAGCCAUCAUGCACGAUGGGGUUCGGUCAAGCAAUGACGCAACUAGUACAGUGAAGAUUAAUGAGGUAGCAAUGUGUGGUGAAUGUAGUACAGUGAAGAGCCGUGAUGCUCUUGUAGCUAGAAGAUUGACUCGGGUAAAUAAGAUGAUAUGUAUAUCAAAGUAUAUGAGAGAAAACACCAUCUUACUUAUUUCUCUACAAAAAGCCGACUUUUGUAAACACCUCGAUUGCUACAUACAACGUCUUAGCACCAGAUUCUCUAACGUGCUAUAG
rnacentral:rRNA from 1 species